GAUGAACGCUAGCGGGAGGCUUAACACAUGCAAGUCGAGGGGCAGCAUAGGGUAGCAAUACUCUGAUGGCGACCGGCAAACGGGUGAGUAACGCGUAUGCAACCUACCCUGUACAGGGGGAUAACCCGGAGAAAUUCGGACUAAUAUCCCGUAAUAAUAUCCGGAGGCAUCUUUGGAUAUUAAAGUUCCGACGGUACGGGAUGGGCAUGCGUAACAUUAGCUGGUUGGUAAGGUAACGGCUUACCAAGGCUAUGAUGUUUAGGGGUCCUGAGAGGGUGGUCCCCCACACUGGUACUGAGACACGGACCAGACUCCUACGGGAGGCAGCAGUGAGGAAUAUUGGUCAAUGGGCGCAAGCCUGAACCAGCCAUCCCGCGUGCAGGAAGACGGCCCUAUGGGUUGUAAACUGCUUUUCCAGGGAGAGAACUUACGCACGUGUUGCGUGACUGACGGUACCCUGGGAAUAAGCAUCGGCUAACUCCGUG
rnacentral:rRNA from 1 species